AUUGUACUCCCGUCGUCCGGAAAUACUUGUCAUCAAAAUGAAUAAAAGGAGAUGUAUCUAGACGUAUAUUAGUUCUAGAUACAUCUUUUUUUAUCCAUUUUGAUGGCAAAUAUUUUUGGACGGAGGGAGUAUCUU
rfam:Triticum aestivum genome assembly, contig: Triticum_aestivum_CS42_TGACv1_scaffold_458178_5DS